rnacentral:rRNA from 1 species
AUGGCCCCGGCGGCGCAGGAGGAGCAGUGGUACAUCAUGUACGCUGUUCCGGAUGUGUCGGAAGAUUUCAUGAAGCCCCCGAAAUUCCCCAACGCGGUCUUCACCUUCAACAAGGUUCCGCUACCUUCCCGCCUAUUCGUCGAGAGCAGCGUCGCCAGCCCCGCCGGACUCGUCGAGUACCCCUACAUCGCGGCCGCCGACCGCAGCGGCCACCUUCUGCUAUGCGGUUACGCCUCCUUCGGGCUCGCCGUCUACAUCUGCGAUCCGUUCUUCCGCAGGACGACGGGCAUCUUCCCCCACGACGGCGGCUUCAACUGCCGCCACUGCGUCGGCCUCAUCCGCGAUCACAACCGCAGGCUUCUCAUGGUGGCCGAUCUCAACCCGUGCUUUUCCGAAGAGGUUGUCUUCUUCACGCUCUUCUGCACGGUCGACUUGUACUCGUGGGUCGAGAAGGAGCCCGACUGCUCGAAAAUCUUGGAUAAACAAGUGUGGCGCGGUGACGGCGUUCUCACCCAUCAAGGUUUGCUCUGGUGGUUCGACUUCUCCUACUGUGUACUUGCCUGCGACCCCUUCGACGAUAAACCGGUGCUUCACCAAAUCAAGUUCCCGCAUGUACAACACGAGCUGCCCUUUGCGCCGUCCACAUUCAACGGCGACACACACCGCUGCUUGAAGGAUUUCCAUGAUGAAGUGAUUGCUGCUACAGACAGGUGGUGUCCUGAAUUGCAUGAGAUUGGUCUGGAGGAACUUGAAGAUGGAGAUGAUGAUGCCUCCGAGAUGAGCGAGGAUCUUGAAGGGGAUGGAGAUGACUCUGAGACGAGUGGGGAUCUUGAAGAUGACUCCGAGAUCAGUGAGGACGAUGCCGAAGAGGACGGAGAUGACUAA